AAUAUAUUUAAAAAAAUAAAAUAAAGAAAAGUGUAGGGAUCACAUCCUCAGAUUUUCCUGUCCUCCAACCCCCUAGUCACCCAGAGCUGUGGCUUGCAGCCCUGCAUAGAGGCUUUGUCUGUCCCUCCUCCCUGCAGCCUCCUCUCCUGGGGGCUCCUGCCCACUGUACCUCUGGAUCCCUCUUUCUAUAUCCUCAUCUGAACCCAGUUCCCUGCCUUUCCUAAAGACCAAUCCGGCUGUGAUUUCAGUGUUGUCUGAGCAGAGGGCUAUGGGGUGGGGGCAGAGGCUUUCUGGAAGAAACCAAGAGCCUGAGAAGGCUAGCUGCCUUUGGCAUCAAAGCACCCCUCCCCCUCCCAUUGAUUCAUUGUUGCCCUUGUCCCAAAUGUCCUCAGGCCAUGAAUGGUCAUCUCCUUUAAGACAAUGCUCACUGCUAGCUGACGAGGCCAUGAGCUCCACGGAGGGCUUGAGACAAAUGUCCUCUAUCUCUCAAGGCCAGGGGCUCACAGCCACAUUUUGCAGCUUGAGUAGGAUGGGAGUUGUGGGUCAGUCCAGGGCUGCUGGUGGCCAAAGUAAAGACCAAGGGGCAGUCCACACAGAUAGCCCAGACCCACUGGCUGGGACAGUUCUGGAUGUCAUUUCAGGCACAUCCUGGCACUCAAUGAGAAUGACAGUCCCUGAAGCUAUACCACAAUGUCCUCUGCACAUGAGGAGUGGAUGGGGACCUGGGUAAGCACUACAAUAUUACGAGAUGGGACUGGCACUUGGGCGAGGCCAGGGUGUCCCCAGCUGAUGCUGGAAGUGGGGUAUAAGCAGCUCUAGAAUUCUCGAUCCUCUGGCUGAAUGGGGAGAUCCCAGGUGGCCUGGCUUCUGCCCACUGGGUCAGUGAGUUCCUCCGCUGCUGAUGGCACUGUGUUAUAGUGGAGGAGGGAGGUUGGUGCUCCAGACUCCAGCAGCUCCAAAUCCGAGGGGCACCCAGAGAGAGGUGUGAGAGUGCUUUCCCAGAACUGAAGGGAAGUAAGAGCAGUGGAGCCUGGCCUGAGCAAAUGGCCAGGAGAGAAAGAGGCUACAGGAGGGAUACCAGAGGGUCAUCGCCUGUGUGGAUGCUGGAAUGUGGCGCUUAGGGUUCCAGAAGUUGAGCCUGGGAAGGGAGGAGAGUGCCAGACUCAAACCCACAGCCAGAAAGAGCAGUGCCCAGGGUGCAGGCCACUGGCAAGGAAGGCUAGGCAGGUGGCCAGAGACUUUGAUCCUCAGCAAUAGCAAACAUAAGAUGGGGGCAGGUGAGGAAACCACAGGAAAAGCCACGACCAGCUUCUCGCACAGCCUUCCUCAUUCCUCUGGCUCAGCAGCGUCCCCCUAGACUUGAGGUACAAUCUCUCUUACAGCUGAUAGGGAGGUGCUUUGCAGCACACAGUAGGUGCUUUAUAAAUGUCAGCUUAAUAGCUAAGUUAUAAGAAGCUGAAAACAGGCUGCCCUGGAACUUGGUGUUGGAAAGAGGGACUUGAGGGCAGUGCAAACGGUAAAAGCCUAAAUGUCCUGUUGCCCAUCCACCUACCUUUGAAAUGCUCCACCCCAAGAAGCCAGACAGAGAAUGAUUAGUGCCCUGAGGACAACACUAGGCAGGGGGUGACAAUGAUCCCAUUUUACAGCAAAGAAACUGACGUUCAAAGUAAAUAACUUGCUGAAUGUCAGACAGCUCCUAAUUCGGACACUCAAACUUUGAAUCCCGCUGUCUGGACCACACAGAAUUCACUCGCUCUGAAUGAUCCCAUCGCAGGGAGCCACGUCUCCCCGGCCUCUCAGACCAACGCUCCAGGGGAGUGUGGUGGGGCCAGGUGGAAGCCCCCUUUUCUAGAUCCCUGAGUUCCCCCAGGCUUCCGGCAGGGGGCGCCAUGCUCCUCCCGAAGUUCUAGUUUAAGACCAAAAGGUGGCGGUCCGCCAGGUUCAGAGGGACGCUCCCUAGUUAAAAGCCCGUUUCAGGAGGACGGGAAGGCUAGAAGCGAUGAAGUCAGCAAAGAGAGCUAAUGGUGCAAGAACUGUCCCGGCCCCAGGGCCCGGGAUGUGAAGCAGAGGGGUGGAGUUGAGGGGCGGGAGCCCAACGAGAGAGAGAGAGAGAGAGAGAG